UGAGUUCUCAGUAAAAGAAACCCUGACUCACACAGAUUGAACAAGAGACUAUUUUGUCUGACAAACACCAUGUCCAGAGGUCACCCAGUUGACAGAACCUCCAAUGUAAAAUUGACCAGUGGUUUUAUUCUUUCAAACCUGAUGUCGAUGGGAAUGAUUCCAAAGUUUCUGAUGAAGUACAAUAUCUGCUAAAAUGGUUGAUAACAGAUGUACCUUGUCAGGCAUCAAAAUUACCUUGGACCCAAGGAAGAAGAAAAUCGUUUGACCAUGCAAAGACUCGUACAUGAAUGCUCAUGGCAGAUUUUAUUUGUUAUAGCCCCAAAGCGAAGACAAUCCAACAUCCAUUAGCAUGUGAGUGGCAAAACAAAUUGUGGUCUCUCUGUAUGAUGGAAUACUAUUUAGCAAUAAAAAGGAUUGAACUAUUGAUAGACACAACAACAUGAAACUUAAAUAUGGUGAAAGAACCCGA